AAAAGAGAGCCUGACGAGCCCAGUUGUUAGCACCUCAUACCACAGUGCAGCAAAAGCAGUUUCAUGAGCGCUGGGAAGGACAAGCCCAGAGCCCAAAACAGACAGUGCAGGAGAUGACAAGCUGUCCUGUGCCAGAUGUUCUGUUGACCCACAGUGAGAGGCAUCAUUUCAGAAACACCAGGAAGACUGAAACUCAUCGCCGGGAUCAAACAGGGGUUAGUGAUCUUGACCAGCAGCUCCCUCACAAGAAGGAUAAACCCAGCAUUUCAUGAACACUGAUGGAGACCUUUGCUUUGUGUAAUGUUAGAAGUACUCAGAUAAUCCUCAGAGGGUCUGGACUUUUACAUAAUAUAAUAUCUUUAAGUCUUGUAGAAAGUUAAAUAUAUGUUGUGCUCUCUGGUUACUCUGGUAUGAAGGACUCUGAAUUACUUUAUGAUAAAUAACACACUAUUGUCAAAAAACAAUGAAAGAAUUCCAGAUCACAAGUUUUUAGUUCAAAUACAAGUAACAGCCUUUGACUUUAAUCAGGUUUUAUUUAAUUGUGUCAGAGAAAACAUCACAUGCUCUUCAUGUAGCUGAGUACAUUCAGUGUUUAAAACAGAAGUUGUGCAGGUCUGAGAUCAGCAGUUUUCUGAAGCACAAAACUGAGGUAAUGUUAAUGCUGGUGUAUAGUGACACAGUUACAGGGGUGAUUAAUCCUUUUGACUUUUUGUCUUUAGCUUUAUCAAUA